rnacentral:rRNA from 1 species
GACGAACGCUGGCGGCGUGCUUAACACAUGCAAGUCGAGCGGUAAGGCCCUUUCGGGGGUACACGAGCGGCGAACGGGUGAGUAACACGUGGGUGACCUGCCCUCAGCUCUGGGAUAAGCCUGGAAAACCGGGUCUAAUACUGGAUAUGACUCCAUGACGCAUGUUGUGGGGUGGAAAGCCUUGUGCGGCUGAGGAUGGGCCCGCGGCCUAUCAGCUUGUUGGUGGGGUGANGGCCUACCAAGGCGACGACGGGUAGCCGGCCUGAGAGGGCGACCGGCCACACUGGGACUGAGACACGGCCCAGACUCCUACGGGAGGCAGCAGUGGGGAAUCUUGCGCAAUGGGCGAAAGCCUGACGCAGCGACGCCGCGUGAGGGAUGACGGCCUGGUGUAAC